rnacentral:rRNA from 1 species
GAUGAACGCUGGCGGCGUGCCUAAUACAUGCAAGUCGAGCGAACGGACGAGAAGCUUGCUUUUCUGAUGUUAGCGGCGGACGGGUGAGUAACACGUGGCUAACCUACCUACAAGACUGGGAUAACUUCGGGAAACCGGAGCUAAUACCGGAUAAUAUUUUGAACCGCAUGGUUCAAAAGUGAAAGACGGUCUUGCUGUCACUUAUAGAUGGAUCCGCGCUGCAUUAGCUAGUUGGUAAGGUAACGGCUUACCAAGGCAACGAUGCAUAGCCGACCUGAGAGGGUGAUCAGCCACACUGGAACUGAGACACGGUCCAGACUCCUACGGGAGGCAGCAGUAGGGAAUCUUCCGCAAUGGGCGAAAGCCUGACGGAGCAACGCCGCGUGAGUGAUGAAGGUCUUCGGAUCGUAAAGCUCUGUUAUUAGGGAAGAACAUAUGUGUAAGUAACUGUGCACAUCUUGACGGUACCUAAUCAGAAAGCCACGGCUAACUACGUG